ensembl:snRNA U1 U1 spliceosomal RNA
CUACUUACCUGGCAGGGGAGAUACCAUGAUCACGAAGGUGGUUUUCCCAGGGCGAGGCUUAUCCAUUGCACUCCGGAUGUGCUGACCCCUGCGAUUUCCCCAAAUGUGGGAAACUCGACUGCAUAAUUUGUGGUAGUGGGGACUGCGUUCGCGCUCUCCCCUG